CGGCUCUUCCUACCUGGCUGGAUUGAUGCAGAGCCCUGUGGAUCUUGUCUUGCUCUCAGUUGCACGUCUUCUCAGGGUGAACUGUAUUUGUUUCGGUCAGGACUAGCUGAACGAUUGGUUCCCUCCAAUCAGAACCACUCCGGGAACUCCAGCUAGUGCGCUCUUCAAGCUGAAGUUGUGCUCUUCAGCUGAGGAGGUAAAGAGACCUUCGCUGGGGCUUCAAGGUAUAAAGAGGAGUGUUUCAAAGUGUUCCAUGGUACUCUGAUGAAGACCGUUGUGUUCCACUGGCUGAGAGGAAGAACCCACACAUCUUCCUCUUGGCCUUUCUCCUCUGGGAAUCCUGGUGCCAUCUUGAAGUAUAUUCCAGCUCAUGUAACUGAUGUCAUGACAGAUUCUCAAACACUUGGUUUCUCCUUAGGGGCGUGUCUAUAGAACUGAAGAAUUCAGACAGCACUGUAUCCCAGCAUGCAUCUCUGCUCACUCAGACCACACCCCCAUGAGUAGGAUGCAACACUCUAGUGAUGGAGAUGUAGAGUUUUAUGAGUAACGAGGGAGCAGACAAAGGUGAUUAGUACACAAUGGAAUGUCAAGUCUGUAAAUCUUUAAAUCAUGUAGAUGGUUGGAUAGUUCAGGAAUUGGCCUUCUUUUUAUCAUUGGCAGUCCUUUCACUCAGAUGCCAAUUUCUCACUGGAGCUGUACAUGUGUUGGCUGGCUGGCAUGAUUUGCUGUUGGUGAUGAGGUGGUCAGGGUGACAUUGCAGGGCUAUGGUCGGCUCGCUGUGAGCUCAACGUUUAGAUUUGCUCUGUAUGGUUUUUACCCUGAAUAAUUUAGAUAAUUGUAAAAUGUAGACACGAUUUUGUAUUGACUGAUUCCAGGAUUUUAUGUUUAAAGUUGUUGUGGGACGAACAUGGUAGUUUGGUUCUUCGUACGGUUUUAAGUGAUAUAACUUGUACACACUGGGUGCGUAAUAAUGUAAACGUACACUGAAUAGUAUUAAUGACCAACAGCAACAAACAGAUCUCCUCAAGGUAAGUCUGUUGGCUGUGUUUUAAUGAAGACCAUCGCUGGACUUCAGGAUCUUCCUCCGUUCAGCUCAAGGUGAGGCGCUGGUUAUGUUUCUUUGGUUGGUUCCGGCUGGAAUGUUCGGAUUCCAGUCGGACGGUUUGUGCUUCCCGCCGUGGAAGUCUCUGAGUGCGGUCACUUGAUUUAGCCCAAUGGUAGCAUAGAACGUUGUAGUAUUGACAACCAUUAGAAACCACCUGGCAGUUAGUUGGACGGGAGUCCUCUGAGGGAAUCUGGCGGAACGUUCUGGAUUGUAUUUGCGUAACCUUGAGCCGUUGCCAACAAACUAUUUUUCAGUCGGUUUCCAUUUGGAAUGGUUGCCCCUAUCUUAAACAACUUAAGUUUGAUAUUAAAUACAUACUGACACGUACGUCGUACAAUAUGUUGAUAAUUUCCGAUGGUUACGCCAUACUUUUAACCACGAUGACGUGACGGGACUCUCACUGCGUACAAAACGGUGUUCUACUUGCGGGCCCAUUUUUUACAUCAGUGAAGGCUGAAGAUAAUUUCGAGGUGGAAGAUAAUUUGACAUUUCAUCAACGGAACCCAGCACCUGAAUAUGGCUGAGUAUAUUUGAUUUAAUAUCGGUACUGCUUAGUGUUCUUUGUUUCUUCAGCUUUUGUACGUUCUAAAUAUCUGUCAUUAAUUGCCACAGAAGAUAAACCCUACCCAAUGGUAUGACGUUGAAUAACUACUUUGGUGCAGAGUUACCAACUGGAUAAUAUCAAAGCUAAAAUAAUGGCCGUCCUUCCCAGAUGUUACAGUAGAAGAUACUCUAGAAGGUUAAAAAGGUAACGUGUAGUUUGUCCCAAGGUGUCUGCCUCCUCACCCAGAGCAAGACCUCCACCUCCUCACCCAAAGCCAGAUCUCCACCUCCUGUCAGAAGUCCUCCCGAACAGCUGAAAGGCGAGGCUGAGAGGCUGGGGACCGGAGGCUUGUGGUGCCAGGGUGGACCGGAGACUGAGGCUGGAGACCAGGGGCCUGCAGCACCGGACCAGAGGGUAACCAUCACCAAGCUCAUCUGAAACACUUAAAUCCACAGUUUCCAUGUCUGGAGGAGCCGAGCUGAUGGAGAUGCCGAGCUGAUGGAGGAGCCGUGCUGCUGAAGGAGCUGAUGGAGCAGUCGUGCUGAAGGCCCUGCCUGGUGAAGGACGUCUGUCGUGGGACCAGGACUCUGUCUGAGAGCUGCUGGAGGAGCUGAGACGCUGGAGGACGACUAGGAAUCGACCAACAAGGAUUCCUCAACGUGUUUCUGGAGCGGAGGCGAGUUGGUAGGGGAGCCGGGAAUCUGGAGGAUGACCAUCACUCUACCAACAAGGAUUACUUUAAGGCUAGACUCGCGAUGCUUGUUCCAGACCAGGACUCCGGCUGAGGAGAGCUGAUGGAUGAGCCAAGACUCUGGAGGACGACAUCACUCUACCAACCAGGAUCCUCACCAGGAAUCUGGAGGACUGAUGGAGAAGCCGUACAAAUGGAAGGCAAAUCCUGAGGACAACUAGGACUCUACCAUCAAGGAUUCCUCAUAAGUUUGCAUUAUCUGGACACAGUGGACUAGACACACCUGAGCUGAACCCGCCCUGAUCCUGACAUCCUGCUGGGCCCGUCUCCUCAGUUCAUCUGAGCCUCGUCCUCCACAAGACCUGCUGAGCUCAGCAGUCUGAGGCUGAUGGAUCAAUGACCUCCAGUGGGAGUGAUCUUCUUGACCCCAAAUGUAACCGUGUGCUUCCACACGCCUUUUCCCUCACGUCUGUCACUAACCUCACUACCUCACUACUCUCUGCUGCUUCCUCUUUUCUUCCUUCUCUGUGGUUCGAACCUUUACACGGAAGGCGCGUCUUCCUGCCCUCAGAGGGUUCAGCAUUAGGGUUGAGAGUCAGGGUUUAGAGUCAGGGACAGAGCUGGUCAGGGAGGACUGCUUUUACACAAACCUCUUCACUUGCUUUCGGAAUGGUGGUGACAUUUUGAAAAGAUUAAUUUGGGAAAAUGUUUUCCUCUGCUUUCCUUUACAAAAUUGUAUUAUACUUCUGUCAAGUGUUUUUGUUUACAUAUUAAA